rnacentral:rRNA from 1 species
UACGGAGGGUGCGAGCGUUGUCCGGAAUCACUGGGCGUAAAGGGCGCGUAGGUGGCCUGUGGAAGUCUGCGGUGAAAGCCCGGCGCUCAACGCCGGGUCGGCCGUGGAUACUCUCGGGCUUGAGCUUACUAGAGGCAGAUGGAAUUCCGGGUGUAGCGGUGGAAUGCGUAGAGAUCCGGAAGAACACCGGUGGCGCAGGCGGUCUGCUGGGGUAAUGCUGACACUGAUGCGCGACAGCGUGGGGAGCAAACAGG